rnacentral:rRNA from 1 species
ACUCAAAGGAAUUGACGGGGGCCCGCACAAGCGGUGGAGCAUGUGGUUCAAUUCGACGCAACGCGAAGAACCUUACCUGGGCUCGAAGUGCUACGGACAGUCUGUGAAAGCAGAUCUCCCCUUAAAAGGCCGUAGUAUAGGUGCUGCAUGGCUGUCGUCAGCUCGUGUCGUGAGAUGUUGGGUUAAGUCCCGCAACGAGCGCAACCCUUGUCCUGUGUUGCCAUCAUUUAGUUGGGAACUCGCAGGAGACCGCCAGCGAUAAGUUGGAGGAAGGUGGGGAUGACGUCAAGUCCUCAUGGCCUUUAUGUCCAGGGCUACACACGUGCUACAAUGGCCGGUACAAAGCGUUCCUAAGCCGCAAGGUGGAGGCAAUCGCAGAAAACCGGUCUCAGUUCGGAUUGCAGGCUGCAACUCGCCUGCAUGAAGCUGGAAUCGCUAGUAAUGCUAUAUCAGAACGAUAGCGUGAAUACGUUCCCGGGCCUUGCACACACCGCCCGU